rnacentral:sRNA from 1 species
UCAACACUACAACCUACAUGGGCCGAUUU